rnacentral:rRNA from 1 species
UACAGGGGGUGCAAACGUUGCUCGGAAUUAUUGGGCGUAAAGCGCGCGUAGGCGGCCACUUAAGUCGGAUGUGAAAGCCCCUGGCUCAACUGGGGAAGUGCACCCGAAACUGAAUGACUUGAGUGCGAAAGAGGGUCGCGGAAUUCCCGGUGUAGAGGUGAAAUUCGUAGAUAUCGGGAGGAACACCGGUGGCGAAGGCGGCGACCUGGGUCGACACUGACGCUGAGGCGCGAAAGCGUGGGGAGCGAACCGG